AAUUCUCAACCUACACCUGUUUUUUUCAAGCGGGUUUUGUAGGCUUGGAUAUGGGGGUUUGCAGGUCCACCGUCUGUGUGGUCUGCUCCUCUGAAAUGCAUUAGUGGGUUUGUGCCCCUCAUCUAUUGGUGUGAUAAUUAUCUACGCCGUUGGGUGAUGCAUCAAUGAAACCUGCUCAUAACCGUCCGUCUCGGACAGCUUUGAUCA
rnacentral:misc_RNA from 1 species